rnacentral:tRNA from 1 species
CGGAGUGUAGCUCAGCCCGGCAGAGCACUGUCUUCGGGAGGCAGGGGUCGGUGGUUCAAAUCCACUCACUCCGACCA